CCGUCGAAAGGUUUGGAACACUGACCCUUGCUCUGAAACAUGUCUGGUGAGUGCGUGUACGACUUGGUGACCGCCAGCGACUCCUUAGGGGCGGGCGGGACCGUGGUGACCGUCAAGCCCGCUGCCACCGCCAAGAAGAGUCGCCGAGCACCACCGCCUACAGCGUCCACCUUCGGCAUUCACGGUACUAGCGCUGUUGUAGCUAACGCCGGUGGCGAGUACACAGACGCCUCUGUGCACCCCUCGCGGAAGCCCAUUGGGACUUUUGGCCGCGAAGUCGGCUCGACGGUGACCCCGGAGAACUUUCUCCGCAAAAACGAAGGCCCGCUCACCGCCAGUCGCGGCGCACCGACUGUGGACAACUCCGCGUUUAAGAAGAGCGAAUACCACCGCGAAAAGGCAAAGCCCGACGUGCCUUUGCGUAACGAGCGCCCUGUCAUGGGGUUACGGACAGAGAAAAACUUUGUAGUCGCUAACGCGGUGGAAAACACGAUGGCGGUGCCGACCAAGGUAACGCCAGCCCCACAGCCUCGUGCGACGGAUCGCGAGGACUUUGGCAAGGUGCCGCAGUACAUCACAGAAAUCAAAGAAGACAUGAACGCGCGCAAGCAGAUGCUCGAAGACCACAAGGCGGCGGACAGAGCUGCGCAGGAGCGGUGGUCGGAAAUUUCUCCGUCUGAGCUGGCGCAGCUGCUUGAGGGCCUUCAGCGUCGCUGGGACGCACUCAACAAGGACUACCAGACGAAAGGAUUCAGCAAGUUGGAAACACCGUCGCAGCGUGCACAUCAGGAGCUCGUAGAGAAACAACUCGUGGCCGUAGAGUUUUCGAUGCAAAAGCUUAGCCGGCAGCACGUCUUCGUAUUCGACGAUCAGAAGUGAGUCGCCACGUGUGUGAUGCCGCCUCUCUCGCAGGCCCGGGAGUAGAAGGUUAGACGCGUGCUUCGAUGAGUGUGUGCUGCAUCAAUACAGGCGUUUUCGGUUGUAAGAAUCAAAUGUACCCUUACCCUCUGUGUUCCUUUCUUCGUGCUUAUUUUCAAGUCCGUGUCGCAGCGGUGCACCCGCUCACGGCUGCCUUUAUCGUGCCGUACCUCGGCUGUUGCUUUUAGAGCCCGCGACUUCAGGGUGGCCGUUGGAGGGAUGCGGGAGCGGCAGCUGAUAUAGAUGACGGAAGCAAAUGGGCUGCUUUUGGUGAACUGAAGAGGGUCGGUGCUGUAUGUGUAUGCGUGUGUGUGUGUGCGACUGCGUCGGUGCCUCUUUGUAUGCCGGAUGUAUAGAUGACCCUGCGGUGUUUUGGUUUGCGUAAUCGUGCGCACGAGCGCGCCCGCUGAUGUACCUGUCUUUUUGUUUUGUCUGCGCAUUUUCG
rnacentral:misc_RNA from 1 species